rnacentral:lncRNA from 1 species
UCAGCUCCUGUCCUUUGUCUCAUAGUAUUCUAUAAUGAAGAUCUCUUAAUUCUUUUUACUUUGCUUCCACCCACUGUAGGAUUCACUUAGCUCCAAAUACUUCAAGGGGGACUAUGGUGAAUCAAAGCAGUGUGUCAGACCGACACUGUUCAGCAAUGGCUAAGCUGACAGCUGAAAUGAAGUUGAUUUUCGGGAAUUCAUGACUUUGUUUAUUUGAGUACGUCGUCACACUGUGAUUUUCCCAAUGCCAUCUCUUCCUUACCUCUUAAGAACCUGACAGGAACUUGCACGGACCCAGUAACACAGGCACAGAACUGGCAAUGCCCUGAAAUUGCAUCUUCUCUCCAGUCCCCAGAACGCAGUGAGGCUGGCCUUUCUGUCCUUCGUUUUCAAGAACAUUGGACACGAUGGAGAAACAAGGUGGCAAAAUACCAAAGUUUGCGUUGA